CAACGCGGCCCAACGUGUUCGUGGCCCAGACCGGCCAGAGAGAAAAUCGGCCGGGCCCGUCCCCUUCCUCCGCCGCCCCCGCCGCACUGCCCGGCGGAUGCUGCCGCUCCGGUGGACCAUAUUCCCACUUCUGAUGGAUUCCGGUCGUCCCUGCGCUCCUGUGGCACCCCCUCCCCCCUGCCGUCUCCGGUAGCUCACUGCCGGCAGCGGCCACCGCAUCGAUAGGUUUGAUUCGCAGGUACUCCAAUCAACUACAGAUUUGUGGAUCCUCCUACUAAUCAACUACUCGUGCAAGGAUUCUGAGCGCUCGGAGGCGAGGCGAAGAGCCUGAGUCUACUGAGCUCAGAGGAAUAAUCCAGAGGGGGCGCACCAUUGGCACGGUAAAAUUAACUCAAGAUAAGCAGCUUCAGAUUGUACUGCUUGGAAAAGAUACAGGUGUUCAUUCCUGGUCUAAGCUGAUGUAUGUGCUCAUGCUGCGGCAGCCAGAUCACCUGCAACACUGAACCCUGGAGGGGCAUUGGGCAGCAACGUGAAGGUUAAUCUGGAGUCGAGAGCACUAUGGGACGAAUCAUGGGGGGCAGCGAGCUGAGCUGGUCAGCGGCAGCGGCAGCUGCGGCGAAGCAGCUCGAGGAUUGGAGGUCAACAAUGGCGGCAACUGCGAGGGGGGCAGAAUGUCUCGUGCAGUACUUUUUGUGGUUGGGAUGUAGUCAUUUCUUUUUCAACCCAUCUAGUAUCUCGAUUACAAGUUGUCAUGUAAGCCAAGCUUUUUGAAAGUGAAAGGUUGGGAGGAAUAGAGCUCAUCAAGGCACCAAAAGAAAGCAUGUUGUACAUCACCAUUUGGCAGACCA